CUUAGGGCUCCCUGACGGUCUAUCUGGGUUUAAUACAAUUGCCCCAGCCUGACACUUAUUGUACUUGAUAGAUCCUGCUGGGCGCCACGUGCUCCUUGUAAGACAAUCGCUGGGAAUGCUGGGAACCACGCUGAUCAAGGACAAGGCUGUGCAUUCCCGCACACCAGUUAACCACCAGUUAACGAGGGAGCCCAAGGCCACAGGCGGGUGAGCGCUGCUCUUAAACACCGGAGGACUCGCAAGGGAUUUCAGAGAUUCGCUGAACUCUCUAAGCUAUUGAUCUGAUCACAGACACCACAUCCAAGGAAAGUCACAAGCCGCUGAAUACCACUUCUGUUGAGUUUCCUGCACUGAACAGGAGAAAGGAGACUUUGUUAUUCUGGCCUCCCCGUGGGUACUGACCUUAAAGGAGUGGACAUCCUCUUUAGCCCGAUCUAGUCACAGAGAAAACUUCUGGGUCAGAAACGUCUGGGAAACUGUGCACUCCUCAGCUCUCCGAAGAACGUGUCGGCUUUUCUCAUCCGUAAUGGUCAUCCCCAGCUGCAGGGAGAAGUUAAUGAGGUGUGCGGGACAGUGAUGGGAAAGGGGCCGCCUUUGCUUCACUCCUGACAUCACUGCACAGUGAGGGCCACAAAGGGGAACUCGCCACAGGGGAGAGACAUGGACCAGAAAACAAUAUCCACUUCAUUAGCCACUGAUUCUGAGUGUGUGCAAGGGGGCCAAGGUCCAGCCUACAGACUGUGACAGACAUUCCUACAACACGGCGAGGUCUGGGCGAAGGGGGAUGGAGAGAAUCCUCACCGCCUCUACCCAGUGGCAUUUUGGUGACAUUUUUCUUUUAUUCUUUUUUUUUCUCCUUCCCUCCUUCUC